UCAAAAAAAUCGAAACGUCAAGGCUACGUGAAAAAUCACGUAGAACCUGGAAAAUGAAUUUUUCAAGAAUUUACCUGACAUACGUAACAAUCAUCGGAACAUAGAUCAAAAUGAAAUGAACUGUCAAUAGGUGCUACUAAAAUUCCCUAUCACUACUACGUGAUGAUCUCGUACGUAGAGUCUCGUUCAUUUUGACAGCUGAAUGUUAUGUUCAUUCAGUAUCCAUCCUACUGUGUGUCGGACGGACCGAAAACCGUAAACGACAUUUUAACCUAUCAAUCAUCCAACUUGGUGAAAAAAAGCUGCAGCCAGGAUGUUUCCGAUAGUGACUACCGGACUUACGUGUAAAGUUCAAAAUGACACAAAUCGAGCCUCCAAUUUUGCAUGAAAUAACAACUAUAGAUUCAUUCAAUGGAGUUUUUAAUAAGAACAUCUCCCGCCCGCGUGCAAGAACCAGCUUCUCGGACCAUCUAGACUAUGGAAGCAUUGCACCAAAUGUGAGAAUUAAAGAUCAUCAGUGCAAUAAAUAAUGCAGUUAAGAAAAUUA